GAUGAACGCUAGCGGCAGGCUUAAUACAUGCAAGUCGAGGGGUAGCAAGAUUGUAGCAAUACAGUUGUUGACGACCGGCAAACGGGUGCGGAGCACGUACACAACCUUCCUACAAGUGGGGAAUAGCCCAGAGAAAUUUGGAUUAAUACCCCGUAACAUAGCGAUGUGGCAUCACAUUGCUAUUAUAGCUUCGGCGCUUGUUGAUGGGUGUGCGGCUGAUUAGAUAGUUGGCGGGGUAACGGCCCACCAAGUCUACGAUCAGUAGCUGAUGUGAGAGCAUGAUCAGCCAAACGGGCACUGAGACACGGGCCCGACUCCUACGGGAGGAAGCAGUAAGGAAUAUUGGACAAUGGACGCAAGUCUGAUCCAGCCAUGCCGCGUGAAGGAUUAAGGUCCUCUGGAUUGUAAACUUCUUUUAUAAGGGACGAAAAAAGGUCUUUCUAGAUCGUCUGACGGUACCUUAUGAAUAAGCACCGGCUAACUCCGUGCCAGCCGCCGCCGUAACAC
rnacentral:rRNA from 1 species